CAACUCCAGCAAUUCAUGCGACACCUAGCGGCGGUAGGGAGAAACGCCAUAUGGAGGUCCAGUCGCCGUGUGUGCCGUAGAGACUGCUAUCACGGACGGAAGAAUGGAGCCCCUAGCAAAAAAAAGCGAACGGCCAAGCAGUUCUGCUGUGUUCCUCAGUGCGUGUCAGCGAGAUGGAAGGACAGCGAUAUUUCCUUUCACGUAUUUCCCUCCGAAUCGAAAGACCGAAGCCGCAGAGCCAGGUGGAUCGCUAACCUCCGCAUCGGCAAGGCUGUGACGGUGACAAUGACUGUUUGCUCACGGCAUUUUGCACGGAAUGAUUUCUCCUUACCAGAUGUUGCAUGUCAAAGACGGCGGCUGAAAAAAAAUGCAAUACCAACUGAAAACCUGCCAAGGACGUCAUGUUAUGAUGA
rnacentral:lncRNA from 1 species